AAUUUAAUGCAUGAAAAUGAUUAAGGCAUUUAGGAAUAACCAUUAUUUUGGCCUGAACAUAUUAUCCGAAACUUCACUAUUCCCUUAGUGAGCCCGUUUGUGCCUAAUUUGCUCCUUUUUGUUUGAUGAAAACUCACAUAUAUUGAGCCUUAGCCUGUUUUAGCCUACUUUUGUCCCUUGAAAACAUGUGAAUGCACUAGAUUAUGACGAGAUGAGAAGAUGAGUACUCUAUAAUUUUAGUGUGUUGAGAGAUAGUUCAUUAGAUUACUAUAGGGAUAUAAUAUAGACUAGUUAAAAAAAAAAAAAAAAAUUAGAAAAACAAAAAAAUAAAAAAAUAAAAAGAAAAAAAAGAAAAGAAAAAUAGAGUUCUAUAAUAAAAUGCAUACGUUUAGAGGAUUGUGGAUAUGUUGAGGAGUUACUCUAGAGUUUUAUUGAUGGAAGGUCUGGUGUGUUGCAUGUUUUCAAUCAUAUAUUGAGCCUCUUUGAUCCCCUUUUUCUUGUUUAUCCCACCUGUACGUACCCUAGCCCCAUUACAACCAAAGUGCAAGACCUUUUGAUUUGUGCAUUGGUUCCAUAUUUUGGUGGAGAUAGUGACAUAACGGCAAGCUGUGUUUGAAGGCAUAAAGUUGUGAAUUGUGUGAAUCUAUUCUGUCCAUAUUUGUCUUUUGAGAGAAAUUGAGUGAACUUGGUGAGGCAGGAUUGAAUUUGCACAAUUUUGACUUGAAUGAAGAACAUGGCAUAAUUUUCUGAGCAAGAGCAUGGUUAGUGGUUUGUGGAUAAUUGUAUCUUGAUCAAGACUUUGAGUAUUAUCUAUCAUAUUGUUGCCAAAGCUUUGUUUUUGCUGUUUUGAGUCUUCUUUUGUUCCUUCCCUGUCGUUUUGUUCUUUUUGGUGCUCGAGGGCGAGCUUUGUUUAAGUGUGGGGGGAUUUGAUUGGACGUAUUUAUACGCAUUUAUUUGGG
rnacentral:lncRNA from 1 species